CAUCUAUAUUUACUUAUCUAUAUUUAGACUUGUGGAAACCAGUUAGGGUUAUUUUUAGACGCAUUCGUAAUAUAUAUUAGUAGUCCUGUUGGCAAUCGCAACACAUUACCAGAGAAGACAGAACUGAAGGUUUUGAACCACGCUACUUGAAACUGAAUCAUUUUUUUAGGAUUAAUCUAGGUUGAGUAAGGAUGGCUGCAAAUGUACCAUAUACGUACCUGUACCGAGUAUUAAGGACGGACGAAGAUGUUUCUGGCGGGAUUCGAGCGAAAAGACCCAUGGCAAAUUACACAAUUGAAGAACAUGUUGCAAACGGUUCUUACAAGUCGACCCAGUUCAUAUCUACAACGGCGUCUUUGGAGUCUGCUAAAGACUUUGCAAGGAAGAGCUUUGGUUAUACGCCAGGAUCUCGAAAUGUUGCUAGAAUUGAUACAACCAGACUUGGUCAGAGUGUUCAAUAUACAGACCUCACUAAUUCAACAGUAUUGUACGGACAAAUACCAGACGAUGCACGAGCACAAAAUUUUGCUCGAAAGUUUAAUGAAGUGGUCAUUACCGGACAUAUUCCUGCAAAUUGCAUAGACAGAAUAUUUAGUGUGUGAAGUGAAUACGACCAGUGACAGUGUGCCAGUGCGUUUUAAUCCACGUAAUACACCGUUAUGAAAAGGAUCAAUCUUUCUAAUUGAGCCCUGGGAACACUGGCUGACAAUUUUUAGCUUUCGUCUGUUUUAUGAAAAUGAACAUAAAUUGGUGUUUCGGUAUCAUUUUUGAUGGAUUAAACUUAAAUCAUAGACGACAUUCUAGGCCAGACUUACAUAAUAGAUGUGGAAAGAUGUUCAAUCUAUAUUAAAAGCACUACAUGUUGUUUUGCCAAACGCCUCGAUAAUCAAUUAACUAGUAUAAACGUUUAUAUAAUAAUUGGCUAGUAUAAACGUGUAUGUUAUACCGACUCGUGCUUUAGUUUUUUUAUCUGUUGAUGUUUCAUUAUUUAGAAAUUCCUUUUUAUUUAAAAAUUGAAGACAAGACAAUCUUACAAUGUUACUUUUUAAGACUAUCUAAUUUAUUUAUAUAUUUAUUUUAUAUUUAGUUGCAUUUGUUUCCCAUAUUUUUAAUAUGUUAUGACAUAAAAACAGUUUCUUCUUAUAUUUUUUUUAUAUAAAAAUUCCUUUGUAAUAGAUAUGUGUGCUAGAAUUUUAUUUACUACGAAACACGGGAUGUUGUUGUUCUUUGCUAUGAUUGUUCAUGUGUCCUAAAUCACAUGGUGCUAAUGAUGUAAUUUAUAUUUUAAUUCCAAUAUAGCAAAGAAAGCGGUACUUUUCUGAUGUAUUUUGUUCUAUUAAUGAGUUUAUGUAAGACAGUUAACAUAUUCUGAAAUAAAAAGUUCAAGUUC